GGAUAACCUGCCCUUGAGACGGGGAUAAACCCGGGAAACUGGGUAUAAUACCCGAUAGAUCUCGGCUGCUGGAAUGCACCGAGUUCUAAAGCUCCGGCGCUCAAGGAUGGAUCUGCGGCCUAUCAGGUAGUAGUGGGUGUAGCGUACCUACUAGCCUACGACGGGUACGGGUUGUGAGAGCAAGAGCCCGGAGAUGGAUUCUGAGACACGAAUCCAGGCCCUACGGGGUGCAGCAGGCGCGAAAACUUUACAAUGCUGGAAACAGCGAUAAGGGGACCUCGAGUGCCAGGUUACAAAUCUGGCUGUCGUGAUGCCUAAAAAGCAUUGCAUAGCAAGGGCCGGGCAAGACCGGUGCCAGCCGCCGCGGUAACACCGGCGGCUCGAGUGGUAACCGUUAUUAUUGGGUCUAAAGGGUCUGUAGCCGGCCGGAUAAGUCUCUUGGGAAAUCUGGCAGCUUAACUGUCAGGCUUUCAGGAGAUACUGUCUGGCUCGAGGCCGGGAGAGGUGAGAGGUACUUCAGGGGUAGGGGUGAAAUCUUGUAAUCCUUGAAGGACCACCAGUGGCGAAGGCGUCUCACCAGAACGGACCUGACGGCAAGGGACGAAAGCUAGGGGCACGAACCGGAUUAGAUACCCGGGUAGUCCUAGCCGUAAACGAUACUCGCUAGGUGUCGGCCACGGUGCGACCGUUGUCGGUGCCGUAGGGAAGCCGUGAAGCGAGCCACCUGGGAAGUACGGCCGCAAGGCUGAAACUUAAAGGAAUUGGCGGGGGAGCACCACAACGGGUGGAGCUUGCGGUUUAAUUGGAUUCAACGCCGGAAAUCUUACCGGGACCGACAGCAA
rnacentral:rRNA from 1 species